UACGUAGGGAGCGAGCGUUGUCCGGAAUCAUUGGGCGUAAAGCGCGCGUAGGCGGCCCGAUAAGUCCGUUGUGAAAGUCAAAGGCUCAACCUUUGAAUGCCGAUGGAUACUGUCGGGCUAGAGUCCGGAAGAGGCGAGUGGAAUUCCCGGUGUAGCGGUGAAAUGCGCAGAUAUCGGGAGGAACACCUAUGGCGAAGGCAGCUCGCUGGGACGUUACUGACGCUGAGACGCGAAAGCGUAGGGAGCAAACAGG
rnacentral:rRNA from 1 species